CGCGUAGGCGGAUUAUCAAGUCUCUUGUGAAAUCUAAUGGCUUAACCAUUAAACUGCUUGGGAAACUGAUAGUCUAGAGUGAGGGAGAGGCAGAUGGAAUUGGUGGUGUAGGGGUAAAAUCCGUAGAUAUCACCAAGAAUACCCAUUGCGAAGGCGAUCUGCUGGAACUCAACUGACGCUAAGGCGCGAAAGCGUGGGGAGCAAACAGGAUUAGAUACCCUGGUAGUCCACGCCCUAAACGAUGUACACUAGUUGUUGGGAUGCUAGUCAUCUCAGUAAUGCAGCUAACGCAUUAAGUGUACCGCCUGGGGAGUACGGUCGCAAGAUUAAAACUCAAAGGAAUAGACGGGGACCCGCACAAGCGGUGGAGCAUGUGGUUUAAUUCGAAGAUACGCGAAGAACCUUACCUGGGCUUGAUAUCCUAAGAACCUUAUAGAGAUAUGAGGGUGCUAGCUUGCUAGAACUUAGAGACAGGUGCUGCACGGCUGUCGUCAGCUCGUGUCGUGAGAUGUUGGGUUAAGUCCCGCAACGAGCGCAACCCACGUAUUUAGUUGCUAACGGUUCGGCCGAGCACUCUAAAUAGACUGCCUUCGUAAGGAGGAGGAAGGUGUGGACGACGUCAAGUCAUCAUGGCCCUUAUGCCCAGGGCGACACACGUGCUACAAUGGCAUAUACAAUGAGACGCAAUACCGCGAGGUGGAGCAAAUCUAUAAAAUAUGUCCCAGUUCGGAUUGUUCUCUGCAACUCGGAGGAG
rnacentral:rRNA from 1 species